rnacentral:lncRNA from 1 species
GGGUGUGUUGCCAUUGAUUUGGCGUGUGAUUAGAAGAGAACCAUCUCUUCUUUAGUGAGAGUUCAGCAUUGGUGCUGAAUUAUUUUUGAGAGAGAGAGUUAAGAUUAGAGAAAAGUUAUUUUCUUUGAUUUUCUUCUAAUGUUUGACAAUCACCAUUGAUCUAUCUUCAAUCUCAAAAGGAUUUGAGGUGCUUUCAGAAGAAGAUCAAAUUAGAUCAGCCAUCAGGAGCGAUCUUCACGUGAUUUAGCAAUCUCGAAAGAUCAGAUCAGUACGAGAGCUUCAUGUGGAUGAUUCAUAG